CCUCCUGAGAGAGAUGCUAUUGAGUUUUUGAGGCUUUCAGAUCUCAGGGAAUCUUCUAUUUUAUUUAUAGCUCCUCUGUGACUACAUAUUAUUUUUCAAUAACUAUAUUGUGUUUUUUUCAGUUGAGCUUCUUAUCCUUUCUUCGAAGCAAUGUGACCACAUAGUAAACUGUUUUUGAGGAGUGUUUGCUGUUUGAGGUUACUAGAUGAAACCACAGAGUUCCUUAUCUUGUCUUUCUGCAUCUGUUUUUACAUGAGCUAGCAGAGCAGAAGAGCAAAGCAGUAACAACCGAAAACUCCUUUUUCCCCCUCUCCCCACCCAUAUUUUUGAAGCCAAGGGAGAAGUCCCCUGUAGGAUCCAGCUGCUGGUUCUCUUUGGGUUUUUUGUCUGCAGACCAGGCAUGUGGAGGUCUGGCAUGAAUACCAGAGUGGAAAGCUGCUGGCACCCAACAGAGCCAUAUGUAAGGCAUCUCAUGGUGAAAAGGACACCCUGCAAAGCUGUGCUGGCUCCAUCCUGCAGGCAGAAUCACAGAAUGUGCUGAGUUAGAAGGGACCCCCAAGGAUCAUCAAGUCCAAGUCCUGGCCCUGCACAGCACCAUCCCCAAGAAUCACACCAGGUGCCUAAGAGCAUUGUCCAAAAACUUCUUGAGCUUUGUCAGACCAGUGCUGUGACCACUGCCCUGGGGAGCCUGUUCCAGUGCCCAGCCAUGCUCUGGGUGAAGAACCUUUUCCUGAUAUCCGGCCUAAACCUCCUCUGACAGCUUCAGACCAUUCCCUCAGAUCCUGUCACUGUCACCACAGAGAAGAGAUCAGUGCCUGCCCCUCCUCUUCCCUUCACAAGGAACUUGGAGACUGCAAGGUCUCCCCUCAGUCUCCUCCAGGCAGAACAGACCAAGUGAGCUCAGCUGCUCUUCAUUUGGCUUCUCCUCUAAGCCCUGAAAUCCAGAGCCUGGGAGGCUAGAGGUUUGGGUUAGGCAUUGCAAACCAAGCGGAAACAAUGCUAUUAUCCUGUGAUUCCAGUUUUUCAAACAGCUCCCCUGUCUUUUGCUAUGGCCCUGAUGAAGUUCUUAAAGGAUGACAUGUAGUAGACUGGAGAUGGGACUGUUACUGCUGCUGGUUAUUUUUCCUGGGAAUGGUUGUUGCUAUUUUUCAGUCUCAUUGUUGAAGUUGACUUAGCCAGAAGUUUCUGGAAAAGAGAAAAGUCAGUGCUUUCUCUUGACCCUUCAGAACACAACCUGAGCUUUAGGAAACCUUUUGUUGGAGAGUUCUGGACCCACAGACCUGCCCCCACUGUAAGGUGGCCAUGCCCUGGGCACUGAAGGGCAUUAGCCCUGGUGCCCAGGCACAAUCUGCAAGAGUCCAGGGAAGCAAUCUUCUGCAAAGCAGUUGGUGCCUAACACUGCCCAGGUUGUAGAGCUAUAAUAAAAGUCCCCCAGAUUCUUCUGGGGUGAGUGAAUGAGCACCACUGCCUCUGAACUAAAUGCUACUUUGCAAGGGCCCAGUAAAGCUGUAGCAUUCUACAGUAACCCCAAUCGGAACACUGUUUCUCCUCACCCAUCUGCACAGCUGAAAGAGAGCGGCUCCUUGCUUUCCCCGUUUUUGUAAACAAGGCUGCAACCUUUAUUCCUGCCUUGAGGAACAGAUUGAAUUGCUUUUGAUGAUCCAGAACAAUGUCAUCCUUUAUUCUGUCUUCAAAAGCAAUUAGUAUUUCAGCUUGAUUAUUUGCAGAUAAUAUGCGUCACCAGAUAAAACACACUAAAUACAAAAUGCUCCUUGGGAGGGAAGGAGAUAAAUGGUAUUUAAGGUUAAAAACCCAGCAUAUGUUUAAAUACCACAAAACUGUCACACAUCAAGGAAAAAAAAAAAAACAGUCCCACUUUGUGAAACAGAAAGAUUGAUCCUGUGUUUAACCUCAAACCCUUAAUUAAUUUGUUGCAGGAUCAAGGCACUGUGACACCAAAGGCACCACUGUGUCACUGUCACAGCACAAGGACAAGUUUGGUCCAACACUAUUUCAGAGUUGUCAAACUAUCCAAAAUUUCAGGCCAAAAAUAUCAUUUAAUCUUAAAAAACAAUUUUGGAUUUUUUCCUCAUAUUUCUUUUCUGAUUUCUAGCUGAGUGGAUUGCAGCUCGUUGGUAUUUUCAGCUCUUUUACCCAGAAACCCAAGGCUAGAGGCUGACUCAUUCUUAAUAGAAGGUACAAGUCUCACAGGAGCAGCAUUAUUUCAGGAACUCACAUUUUAAUGGGAACAUCAAAUCUAUCUGGCAUUAUGAUAAGGUCAUCAGAAAUUAGCAAUACUGAAGGUUUAUCCUGGGUUAGCUUCUAACAUAGAUAAUAAAUGAUAUAUCCUUUCUCUGUACUGAUGUUGCCAAGUAGCUUCAUUGGCAAACUUUGAAAUACAUAUGGAAAUGGAGUUUUGGAAAAUUUAGACCAAAAUUAAAGUUUGCUUUUAUUUUCUC